UACGGAGGGUGCGAGCGUUGUCCGGAAUCACUGGGCGUAAAGGGCGCGUAGGUGGCCUGUGGAAGUCUGCGGUGAAAGCCCGGCGCUCAACGCCGGGUCGGCCGUGGAUACUCUCGGGCUUGAGCUUACUAGAGGCAGAUGGAAUUCCGGGUGUAGCGGUGGAAUGCGUAGAGAUCCGGAAGAACACCGGUGGCGAAGGCGGUCUGCUGGGGUAAUGCUGACACUGAUGCGCGACAGCGUGGGGAGCAACAGG
rnacentral:rRNA from 1 species